rnacentral:tRNA from 1 species
AAUUCUCGCCUAUAUCCAGGAUCUCCUGAAAAGCUGCCGUUAUUAGACNUUUA